rnacentral:rRNA from 1 species
AUUGAACGCUGGCGGCAUGCCUUACACAUGCAAGUCGAACGGUAAUAGGUCUUCGGAUGGUGACGAGUGACUAACUGGUGAGUAAUACAUCGGUACGUGCAUAGUAGGUAGGGAUAAAUACUCUAAAGAUUGGCUAAUACCGCAUUAGAUCUAUGGAUUAAAGCAGGGGAUCGCAAGCCCUUUCGCUACUAGAGACGCCGAUGGCAGAUUAGGUAGUUGGUGGUGUAAAAGCUUACCAAGCCGACGAUCUGUAGCUGGUCUGGGUGGAUGAUCAGCCACACUGGGACUGAGACACGGCCCAGACUCCUACGGGAGGCAGCAGUGGGGAAUUUUGGACAAUGGGGGAAAGCCUGAUCCAGCAAGGCCGCGUGCAGGAUGAAGGCCUUCGGGGUGUAGGCUGAUUUUGUACGGAACGAAAAGCCCUGGGUUAAUACCCUAGGAUCUUGACGGUACCGUAAGAAUAAGCACCGGCUAACUACGUGCCAGCCGCCGCAGUAA